AUGCCAAAGCGACCCUCGGACGGGCGCGUCGGCCAGAAGCGCCGCCGCCGGCGCCUAUACCUCGUCACGAACGACGGGGAGGCGAUAUACGGCAUCCGCAAGUUCGAUCUACCGUCGGACCCUCCGUCCUCCGCCGAUGACGACGGCCACGCGACGGCGCAGCGCCUUCCGAGGGCCGUCGUCCGCCUUGAGGCUCCGGCGAGCAGGUUCUUCGCGGCUAAAGGCAACAAGAUCAUGGUCAUGGAUACCAGCCAGUGCGAGCGCAUCGUCCCCGUCUUCGGCGUCCGCACGCGGUGCAUCGCCCUCGUCCCUCGCAACGGCUCGCGACCCACCUGGCCCAUGUAUCUGCCCGUCGGCGGGAAGCUCGCCGCCCUUGACGACGACUCCUCGGAGCUGCUCCGUCCGUGUCUGUGGGGAUGGGGGUCCCAGGAUAGGCUCCCGAACCCUCCGUUCGAUCUGGAGGACAUGACCGCCCACUGCGCGCACCCGGACGGCCGGACCGUCUUCGUCAGCUCCAAGGCCGCCACUUUCUCCCUCGACACAGCGUCUAGGGGUGCUGCGUGGAGGCGCCAUGGCGAGUGGAAGCUGCCCUUCGCUGGCCGUGCGCACUUUGACCCCAGGCUCGACGCCUGGGUCGGGCUCUCCGGCGACUCCCCGGACACGCUCGGCUACCUCUGCUCCUGCGACGUCGUGCCCACCGACCCCAGCAGCAACAUGGAGUCCCCGCCGGCGUGGAAGCUUAGCAAGGAGAAGCUCUUCUGCGAGGACCCAGCCGAGCAACACGUCGGAGCCAGCCUCGUCUACGUGGGAGUCGCACGCUUCUGCCUUGUGCAGUACUUCUCCGUUGUUGAAGACGAUGCCGCCGGCAGCUCUGGUAAUGACGAGCCGGAGAUGGAGGAGGCCAUGCCACCGUCGUCUCCUCGCUAUAGGCUUCGAUGA
rnacentral:rRNA from 1 species